rnacentral:rRNA from 1 species
UACGUAGGGUGCGAGCGUUGUCCGGAAUUAUUGGGCGUAAAGGGCUCGUAGGCGGUUUGUCGCGUCGGGAGUGAAAUCCUACGGCUUAACUGUGGGCUUGCUUUCGAUACGGGCAGACUAGAGGUAUGCAGGGGAGAACGGAAUUCCUGGUGUAGCGGUGAAAUGCGCAGAUAUCAGGAGGAACACCGGUGGCGAAGGCGGCUUCCUGGUCCAGCACCGACGUUCAGGCACGAAAGCGUGGGGAGCAAACAGG